GCCUCCGCUCCCGGAAGCCGCACCAGCCGCCGCCGGGCCCGCCGGUCACCGGUGUGUGAGUCAGGGUCCUGGCAGCAAGCACACUCAAGUGGAUUUGGGAAAGAGCUGGAUGAAGAGACUAUUUACAGAGGUGGAAGAAAAAUCUGAUGCAGCAGAUUCCCUCUGGAUAGAACCACUCAGGAGAGAAGGAACCAUGAUGAGUGCGAGAGAAUAAUCACUGUUGAACUCUGGCCAAGGCACCAAGCUGAACUUUGCAUCACGACACUUCCCAUCUUUAAGCAGCCCUGUGAGAUGAGAAAACUGAGGCCUGGAGAUGGGAAGGGACCUCCGAGGCACAUCAGCAGUUUUGCAGGUGAGGAGGCUGAGGCUCAAAGAGGUUAAAUUCAUCGCUCACAUCACCAAAUAGGAAAAUGGUGACACUGGCCUGCCAACCAGCCAGGAAGCCUCUUGGGACCCUUCAGCACUCUUCCUUGGCCACCACCAUUCAGAUGCAGCUUUCAGGGCCUCAAUGUCUUUCACUCCCUGCAGGAUGGCCUCAGGCCCCCAAAUUCCCGACUCAGGUGUGCUCUCAGGCCAACCACAGGCUCUGCCUGUAAGGGUUAGCUUUCUUCAAUUAUUAUUAUUAUUUUUUGAAAAUUUCUCCCUUGCUAAAAUAUAAUUUUUAACAUGGUGAAAAAAUCACUCGUCUUAUACGAAUAUGACAUAAAUGAGUGUAGAAGAUUUUAUUUAAACUUAUUAAUUAAUGAGGGGACUGAUAAGAGAUUAAAUGAGAAUUUAACUUACAGAGAUUUAUAUUCUCCCUCAAGCAAAAUCCACUUGGGUUGCUCUGACUUAUUUGCGCUGACCUGGACGAGAAAUAUUUGCAUUACCAUUAGUUUUGUACAAGUGAAGUUUUAUCCCCGACAGGGUUAUAAGACAGCUUAGUCAAUCAAAAACAAUCAAAGGUAUACAUAAUUUGAUAACCCGUGGACCACUAGACAAUGGUCAGAAUUCUACUGAAAGAACACCUAGUAAUUUCUCUUGCCCAUUUCCUGUCUUUGACAAAAUUUCCUAAUAUUCAUAUUUUUUAUUUAUUUAUUUUUCCUUUUAUGACUGUGCUUGUGGCAUAUGGAAAUUCUUGGGUCAGGGAUUGAAUCUGAGCUGCAGCUAUGACCUAUGCUUCAGUUGUGGAAAUGCCAGAUCCUUUAACCUACUGCACUGGGCCAGGGAUCAAAACUGUGCCUCUGCAUCGACCUGAACUGCUGCAGUCAGAUUCUUAACCUACUGUGCCAUGGCAGAAACUCCUCCUUAUACUCUUUUAAUGUGAGCAGCACAAAAGGAUUUUUGUCUAUGAGAUAUAUAGAACUCCUAUAAGUUAUUAGGAAAGAGACAACUGACCCAAAAGAAAAAUGGGCAAAGGAUGUUAAACAUGCAAUUUCCAAAAUAUCCAAUAAAAAUGAAAAGAUGCUUGACCUAUUUUGUAAUCAAAGAAAUGGAAAUUAAAAGUGCGAUGAGAUAUUGUUUCAUACCCACCAGGUAAAAUUGGUAAAAAUUAAAAAGUCAAGCAUCAGCAAGAAUGUGGAGUCCCAGGAAUUUUCAUAUAUUGAUGGUAAAAGUUUGAAUUGGUAAAAUCACUUUGGAAAGAAAUUUGGCAAAAGCUAGUUAAGUUGAAGAUGUGUAUAUCCCAUGGCAAGAGUAUGUGUAUACUCUUAGGAAGGAGAAAUUCCUAUACAUAUGCAUUAGAUAAACAUGCACAAAAGUGGUCAUGGCCAUAGAAACAACCCAGAUGUCCUUUGACAGACGAUUGGAUUAGGAAGAUGUGGUAUAUAUACACAAUGGAAUACUACUCAGCCAUAAAAAAGAACAAAAUAAUGUCAUUUGCAGCAACAUGGAUGGAACUAGAGACUCUCAUCCUGAGUGAAGUAAGUCAGGAAGAGAAAGACAAAUACCAUAUGAUAUCACUUAUAUCUGGAAUCUAAUAUAUGGCACAAAUGAACCUUUCCACAGAAAAGAAACUCAUGGACUUGGAGAAUAGACUUGUGGUUGCCAAGGGGGAGGGGGAAGGAGUGGGGGUGGUUGGGGAGCUUGGGGUUAAUGGAUACAAACUAUUGCCUUGGGAAUGGAUUAGCAAUGAGAUCCUGCUGUGUAGCACUGGGAACUAUGUCUAGUCACUUAUGAUGGACCAUGGUAAUGUACGAAAAUAGAAUGUGUACAUGUAUGUAUAACUGGGUCACCAUGCUGUACAGUAUAAAAAAAAUUGUAUUGGGGAAAUAACUUUUAAAAAAUAAUAAAAGUGGUCAUGGUGUCUAGUAACAGCAAAUCAUUAGAAAUAACCUGAAUGCCUGUCAUCAGGAGAAUGGAGAAAAUAAGUGGUGGCAUAUUUCUGUAUUCAUACAAUGUAAUACUCUACAGCAUUAAAACAAAUGAGGUUGACCUAUAUACAGCAAUAUGGAUAAAUUUCAAAAACUGUGUUGAGUGAAAGAAGCAAGUUGUAGAAGAAUCACAGUAUGGCUGCUUGACAAAGACUAUGUGAUGAAAAUGGAAAAGUCUGAAAGGGAGUGACAUAUACAAACUUCAGGGCAGUGGUUUCCUCUGGGAUGCAGGGAAGAGAAUGAGAUUAGGAAGGGUGACAUCAACUGUAUCUGAAAUGCUUUAAUUGUUAAUACAAGUGAGGGGUAUGAAGAUAUUUGUUAUACUAUUUUUUUGAUGCUUUUUACAUGCUGGAAUAAUAACAACAACAAUGCCUUGCAUUUCAUUUCCCUGUGGUUUAAAGAUAGAGGAAAUAAAGCUUUUCUCCUC
rnacentral:lncRNA from 1 species